GACGAACGCUGGCGGCGUGCUUAACACAUGCAAGUCGAGCGGUAAGGCCCUUUCGGGGGUACACGAGCGGCGAACGGGUGAGUAACACGUGGGUGACCUGCCUUUAGCUCUGGGAUAAGCCUGGGAAACUGGGUCGUAAUACCGGAUAUGACUCCAUGACGCAUGUUGUGGGGUGGAAAGCCUUGUGCGGCUAGGGAUGGGCCCGCGGCCUAUCAGCUUGUUGGUGGGGUGAUGGCCUACCAAGGCGACGACGGUAGCCGGCCUGAGAGGGCGACCGGCCACACUGGGACUGAGACACGGCCCAGACUCCUACGGGAGGCAGCAGUGGGGAAUCUUGCGCAAUGGGCGAAAGCCUGACGCAGCGACGCCGCGUGAGGGAUGACGGCCU
rnacentral:rRNA from 1 species